UACGGAGGGUGCAAGCGUUAUCCGGAUUCACUGGGUUUAAAGGGUGCGUAGGUGGGCAGGUAAGUCCGUGGUGAAAUCCCUGAGCUUAACUCGGGAACUGCCAUGGAUACUAUUUGUCUUGAAUAUUGUGGAGGUAAGCGGAAUAUGUCAUGUAGCGGUGAAAUGCUUAGAUAUGACAUAGAACACCAAUUGCGAAGGCAGCUUACUACACAGUUAUUGACACUGAGGCACGAAAGCGUGGGGAUCAAACAGGG
rnacentral:rRNA from 1 species